rnacentral:rRNA from 1 species
AUUGAACGCUGGCGGCAUGCCUUACACAUGCAAGUCGAACGGUAACAGGUCUUCGGAUGCUGACGAGUGGCGAACGGGUGAGUAAUACAUCGGAACGUGCCUAGUAGUGGGGGAUAACUACUCGAAAAAGUGGCUAAUACCGCAUGAGAUCUACGGAUGAAAGCAGGGGAUCGCAAGACCUUGUGCUACUAGAGCGGGCGAUGGCAGAUUAGGUAGUUGGUGGGAUAAAAGCUUACCAAGCCGACGAUCUGUAGCUGGUCUGAGAGGACGAUCAGCCACACUGGGACUGAGACACGGCCCAGACUCCUACGGGAGGCAGCAGUGGGGAAUUUUGGACAAUGGGCGCAAGCCUGAUCCAGCAAUGCCGCGUGCAGGAUGAAGGCCUUCGGGUUGUAAACUGCUUUUGUACGGAACGAAAAGCCCUGGGUUAAUACCCUGGGGUCAUGACGGUACCGUAAGAAUAAGCACCGGCUAACUACGUGCCAGCAGCCGCAGUAACAC